UGACUGUUCUGGUGUCCUAGUGGUUAGAGGGUCUGCCUCGAAUGCGGGUGGUAGCGGGCUCAAAUCCCGGCCCAGUCAU